rnacentral:rRNA from 1 species
AUUGAACGCUGGCGGCAUGCCUUACACAUGCAAGUCGAACGGUAACAGGUCUUCGGAUGCUGACGAGUGGCGAACGGGUGAGUAAUACAUCGGAACGUGCCCGAUCGUGGGGGAUAACGAAGCGAAAGCUUUGCUAAUACCGCAUAAGAUCUAAGGAUGAAAGCAGGGGACCGCAAGGCCUUGCGCGAACGGAGCGGCCGAUGGCAGAUUAGGUAGUUGGUGGGAUAAAGGCUUACCAAGCCGACGAUCUGUAGCUGGUCUGAGAGGACGACCAGCCACACUGGGACUGAGACACGGCCCAGACUCCAACGGGAGGCAGCAGUGGGGAAUUUUGGACAAUGGGCGAAAGCCUGAUCCAGCCAUGCCGCGUGCAGGAUGAAGGCCUUCGGGUUGUAAACUGCUUUUGUACGGAACGAAAAGACUCUGGUUAAUACCUGGGGUCCAUGACGGUACCGUAAGAAUAAGCACCGGCUAACUACGUGCCAGCCGCCGCAGUAAAAC